rnacentral:tRNA from 1 species
GGGCUUGUAGAUCAGCGGUAGAUCGCCGCCUUCGCAAGGCGGAGGCCGCGGGUUCGAGUCCCGCCAAGUCCAC